CGGGCGUAAGUUAGGCCAUGAACAAUAAACAGUGUAUUGUUAAUCAAGAAUGUAUAAUCAAGAAUGAAUCGAUUUUUACAAACUAUGAUUGGACGAUGAAUAAAACAGAAAAGAAGAUAAGGUUCCAUCUGCGAUCACAUAAAACCGUGUUUGUCAUAUCAUGUUGUUGUCAAUUGAUUGUUAUCGUUAAAAGGCGACGCAUGAUUAUUGACAAGGACUAUUUGAUAAAUUUGACUAAGCUUAAAAUAACGGAAUUUGCACAAUCUGUCAUUGAAGAAAAUUGUAAAAUUUCAAAAUUCAAUGUUACUUUUCUAUUUAUUGUUAAUAAAAA